rnacentral:rRNA from 1 species
CACACUAUCAUUAACUGAAUCCAUAGGUUAAUGAGGCGAACCGGGGGAACUGAAACAUCUAAGUACCCCGAGGAAAAGAAAUCAACCGAGAUUCCCCCAGUAGCGGCGAGCGAACGGGGAGGAGCCCAGAGCCUGAAUCAGUGUGUGUGUUAGUGGAAGCGUCUGGAAAGGCGCGCGAUACAGGGUGACAGCCCCGUACACAAAAAUGCACAUGCUGUGAGCUCGAUGAGUAGGGCGGGACACGUGGUAUCCUGUCUGAAUAUGGGGGGACCAUCCUCCAAGGCUAAAUACUCCUGACUGACCGAUAGUGAACCAGUACCGUGAGGGAAAGGCGAAAAGAACCCCGGCGAGGGGAGUGAAAAAGAACCUGAAACCGUGUACGUACAAGCAGUGGGAGCACAGAGCAAUCUGUGUGACUGCGUACCUUUUGUAUAAUGGGUCAGCGACUUAUAUUCUGUAGCAAGGUUAACCGAAUAGGGGAGCCGAAGGGAAACCGAGUCUUAACUGGGCGUUAAGUUGCAGGGUAUAGACCCGAAACCCGGUGAUCUAGCCAUGGGCAGGUUGAAGGUUGGGUAACACUAACUGGAGGACCGAACCGACUAAUGUUGAAAAAUUAGCGGAUGACUUGUGGCUGGGGGUGAAAGGCCAAUCAAACCGGGAGAUAGCUGGUUCUCCCCGAAAGCUAUUUAGGUAGCGCCUCGUGAAUUCAUCUCCGGGGGUAGAGCACUGUUUCGGCAAGGGGGUCAUCCCGACUUACCAACCCGAUGCAAACUGCGAAUACCGGAGAAUGUUAUCACGGGAGACACACGGCGGGUGCUAACGUCCGUCGUGAAGAGGGAAACAACCCAGACCGCCAGCUAAGGUCCCAAAGUCAUGGUUAAGUGGGAAACGAUGUGGGAAGGCCCAGACAGCCAGGAUGUUGGCUUAGAAGCAGCCAUCAUUUAAAGAAAGCGUAAUAGCUCACUGGUCGAGUCGGCCUGCGCGGAAGAUGUAACGGGGCUAAACCAUGCACCGAAGCUGCGGCAGCGACGCUGAUGCGUUGUUGGGUAGGGGAGCGUUCUGUAAGCCUGUGAAGGUGUGCUGUGAGGCAUGCUGGAGGUAUCAGAAGUGCGAAUGCUGACAUAAGUAACGAUAAAGCGGGUGAAAAGCCCGCUCGCCGGAAGACCAAGGGUUCCUGUCCAACGUUAAUCGGGGCAGGGUGAGUCGACCCCUAAGGCGAGGCCGAAAGGCGUAGUCGAUGGGAAACAGGUUAAUAUUCCUGUACUUGGUGUUACUGCGAAGGGGGGACGGAGAAGGCUAUGUUGGCCGGGCGACGGUUGUCCCGGUUUAAGCGUGUAGGCUGGUUUUCCAGGCAAAUCCGGAAAACUAAGGCUGAGGCGUGAUGACGAGGCACUACGGUGCUGAAGCAACAAAUGCCCUGCUUCCAGGAAAAGCCUCUAAGCAUCAGGUAACAUCAAAUCGUACCCCAAACCGACACAGGUGGUCAGGUAGAGAAUACCAAGGCGCUUGAGAGAACUCGGGUGAAGGAACUAGGCAAAAUGGUGCCGUAACUUCGGGAGAAGGCACGCUGAUAUGUAGGUGAAGUCCCUCGCGGAUGGAGCUGAAAUCAGUCGAAGAUACCAGCUGGCUGCAACUGUUUAUUAAAAACACAGCACUGUGCAAACACGAAAGUGGACGUAUACGGUGUGACGCCUGCCCGGUGCCGGAAGGUUAAUUGAUGGGGUCAGCGCAAGCGAAGCUCUUGAUCGAAGCCCCGGUAAACGGCGGCCGUAACUAUAACGGUCCUAAGGUAGCGAAAUUCCUUGUCGGGUAAGUUCCGACCUGCACGAAUGGCGUAAUGAUGGCCAGGCUGUCUCCACCCGAGACUCAGUGAAAUUGAACUCGCUGUGAAGAUGCAGUGUACCCGCGGCAAGACGGAAAGACCCCGUGAACCUUUACUAUAGCUUGACACUGAACAUUGAGCCUUGAUGUGUAGGAUAGGUGGGAGGCUUUGAAGUGUGGACGCCAGUCUGCAUGGAGCCGACCUUGAAAUACCACCCUUUAAUGUUUGAUGUUCUAACGUUGACCCGUAAUCCGGGUUGCGGACAGUGUCUGGUGGGUAGUUUGACUGGGGCGGUCUCCUCCUAAAGAGUAACGGAGGAGCACGAAGGUUGGCUAAUCCUGGUCGGACAUCAGGAGGUUAGUGCAAUGGCAUAAGCCAGCUUGACUGCGAGCGUGACGGCGCGAGCAGGUGCGAAAGCAGGUCAUAGUGAUCCGGUGGUUCUGAAUGGAAGGGCCAUCGCUCAACGGAUAAAAGGUACUCCGGGGAUAACAGGCUGAUACCGCCCAAGAGUUCAUAUCGACGGCGGUGUUUGGCACCUCGAUGUCGGCUCAUCACAUCCUGGGGCUGAAGUAGGUCCCAAGGGUAUGGCUGUUCGCCAUUUAAAGUGGUACGCGAGCUGGGUUUAGAACGUCGUGAGACAGUUCGGUCCCUAUCUGCCGUGGGCGCUGGAGAACUGAGGGGGGCUGCUCCUAGUACGAGAGGACCGGAGUGGACGCAUCACUGGUGUUCGGGUUGUCAUGCCAAUGGCACUGCCCGGUAGCUAAAUGCGGAAGAGAUAAGUGCUGAAAGCAUCUAAGCACGAAACUUGCCCCGAGAUGAGUUCUCCCUGACUCCUUGAGAGUCCUGAAGGAACGUUGAAGACGACGACGUUGAUAGGCCGG